CUCUCCUUGUGCGCGUCCACGGUGUUAGCGUCGAUUGUGGGUCAGGUGGUGAGGAUGCUCAGAUUGUCGGAUAUGGAUGAAUGGAAUGCUAGAUAGUUUAGAAAGAUUGCAGCUGUAUUGGGAGAGGAAGAGUGUGAUUGGAUUAAAGUUUUCGGUGGAAGAGUGUUUAUGUCUCCUACUUUGUUUGAAGGGAUGGUCAAGUGCAUUCUCCUUUGCAAUUGCUAGUAACCUUCCUCUUCUGAUGCCUUUAUGCUGUUUGACAUAUUGUCGCAAGGAGGAUAUUUUAAACUUGUUUUAUUGUAUAAUGUUUAUUUAUUUAUUUUGGGUUUCUCUUGUUUCAAUAUCCUAUCACUCUUGGCAGAUGGUCAAGGACUCUAAGCAUGGCCAGAGCUCUCUGUGAGCUUCAACUGGAACUGCAGUUUCAAUCAUGCAGUGUGAAUGCAAUACCAAGGAUCAACAAACUGAUACAAACAAUUUCAUUCCUAAAACACCUGCAGGAAAAGAGUCCAAGACGAAGCUCAGAGCUUCCAAAGUGUCCACAAAUUUUGACAAAUAAGUUCCUGGGUAUGGAAAUGGAUUUGGAAGCUGAUACUUGCUUGACAAUGGAUGAUGCGCAAAUGAAGAUAGCAAAUUUAAGACCAAACGUCUCUCUUAAUUGUAUAGAAGGUGAUUUCCUCUGGCAAUUACAAAUCAAGUGAGGCAGCAAAUAAAGUUUUCGAAGCCAGUUCCUUUAAAACUUCUGUUCUUCAAUCUCACAAGAUGACACAGCAUUUUGCACACCAACCAAUUUGUAAUUUUCCAAGUCCAAGGGAACUAGCAAUCCUUGAUGAUAGAUUUCUGGCAAAGCGCUGUGGUCUUGUCUGUAUAGCAGGUCGAAUAAUAAAACUUUCCCAGGAUAUUGUUGAAGGGUGGAUUCCAAUAAUGGAGGAAGCAUAUCCAGUUACGGUAAAUUGGCUAAUCAGCUCAGAGAAAUUGAUGGGUUUGGUCCAUUCACGCGACCAAAUGUGCUUAUGUGCAUGGGAUUUUAUCAUGUUAUUCCUACUGAUUCUGAAACAGUGAGGCAUCUAAAACAGGUCCAUUCCAAAAAUUCUACAAUUCAAACAGUUCAAAGGGAUGUUAAAAAGAUAUAAGGAAAAUAUGCACCCUUCCAAUUCUUAGCCUACGGGGCAGAAUUAUGGCACUUCUAUGAGCAAAGGUUUGAGAAGCUAAGUCAAAUGCCUUGCUCUGAUUAUAAACUUAUUACUGCCAGUAAUAUGAAAAAUGAAGGAAGUCGUAAAAUCAAGAGGAGUAGGGUAUCUUGACAGUGAUACGGAGUUAUCAUGACUUAAGUUAAACGAGAAGCUACCGUUGGACCUGUGGCAUAAAUUAUUUCUUCACGGAAGAUACACAUAGGAGGAUGCUUCUGGGAAGAAGAAUAAAGCCCAGCAACUCGGAAGGCAAAUUUUUAGUUCAUGAAUGCUGAAGUGGUCUCCACAAUUCUAAUUCUGUAGAUUCUACCAUGCAGUUAGAGAUUUGUUCAUGGUCAAGUUUACGCAACUUUAUUCUUUUUCAUAAUUCAUUUAUAAGAUGAUACUUCUGAAAUUCGUGAGGAUGCAGAACCUAGUAAUUGCAACUUCUUUACCUUUGUCCUUGUUCCUUACAGCUUCUCACUUCCCUCUUUUGUUAAACAGUUAGGGAUAUAAGGUUGUGAAGUGAAUUAUCAUAAAAUAUGUCUUUGGCUAAAGUUGGACAACCACAACAGGCAGCCUCUUCAUUUAAUCUAGAUGUGGCCCUAACUUUAGUAUGUUCUUAUUAAAUGGAAGCUAAUGAGUGAAAUCCAAGCACCUGUUCUUUGCAGUCCAAGGACUUGGUUAUGGUUCUUCUACUUCUUCAGUUCUAAGCCUUUCUGAUACAGAUGUUCAAGGGAUAGCAAAAAAUGCAACCUGAGAACGAGUACUAAAUAUUUAGUUUCUAUAUCUUCAAGAAACAUAGCGGUUGUGAAAUUUGCUAUUUUCGUACAUUUGCAGGCUGUUUAUUAAGUAAGAAAAUGGCACAUUCAUUGUGAGACAGUCACAUUUGUAUCUUUCAUCUAUCUACAUGCAGAUUAGCAAUUUGAUCCGGUGCAUAGCUUUCCUUUUUUUUUUUUUUUUUUUUGGUCAAAAUCCGGUGUAUAGCUGAUCGGUAGAACUUACAGAUGUAUCAAUGUCAUUUUUGAGCUGAAUAAUUUGAGUGGAAUUGUGCCUGUGAGCUGAUUUUGUCCAAGAUGACUGCAAAUAAUGAUCAAAUCACCGAUCAUUAAGUUGGAGAAAAUAAGAGGACUAUAAAAUUAAGAAAUGACCGAAUAUACUUGGUUACAUACAAGUGUCUUGUAUUUACUAGCAAAUCCAAACCAGGUGAAGUCUCAUUUGAGACUGGAAUUGUUCCUGUGAGGUUAUUGUCAGUUACAUCCAGCGAAUACAGGUUCAACAGAUUGCCAAUAGAAGGUGGCAUUUCUCCAAUGAAUUUGUUAGAAGCUAAAGAUCUGCAAAGAAUUGAAAAAAGAGGGGUUCUAAAAAUAUGAAAAAUCCACAGGUGCAAUGUAGGUUCAAGUUUUAUCUAUGAAUUUGCAUAGAUCAUCUGAAAAAAAAAAAAGAAUUUUUUAGAUUUUGUGUUCCAAUUAAUGAAAAGACAUCUUGAGUUGGCAGAAUUGCUUCUCAUUACAUGCCUGCAAUUUUGUGACCUCCAUAAAUAAUAGCAAGAUGAAUACCAUAGUAGAAGUCCUUACAAUGAGAUAAGCUGUGUUAGAGAUCCUAUUGUGUUGGGAAUUGGACCAAAAAAACUGCAACCAACCAGGGAUCUGGCAUGAAAAAGAAAAUUAGGCAGUGAAGCAUGAGGUUGUACCUCCAUAAGUUGGAAGAAUAACAAUUUUCUUACAGGUAUACAAGGUUAUUCAAAUUUCCAAUUGCUGGUGGAAGAGUUCCUGUCAAACCCAUAUUUUGAGAUAAAUCCCUACAUGUGGAAACUGAUAAUCAGGGCAUCGUAUCAUCAUAUAAAUAUUCAUCUUUGAAAUGCUUCACAUGCUCUGGUAGGUUAUUCAAGUGUUACUGAUGUUCAUUGCAAAAUGCUAGGAGUUCUUCCACCUGAUGGUUUCUAAGGCAUAAUAGCUGGUUCUUGGAUGCUGUGAUAAAUAGUAUGUGCUUGUUUGC